AAGAUGUUGGACAUAACACAAUGAUGGCUGACUGGGAACAGUUAUGGACCACAGGUAUGAAGUUUACGGCAUGCAAUGCCUUAAGAGAGAAUAUUAUGAAAAUGAUAUACAGGUGGUACAUGACCCCAGUCAAGCUUGCAAAAAUCUAUCAUUUGCCCGACAAUAAAUGUUGGAAAUGUAAAGAAACCGAAGGUACAUUCUUUCACCUUUGGUGGACGUGCCCAAGGAUUAAGGCUUUCUGGGAGAUGAUUUAUAAUGAAAUGAAAAGGGUAUUUAAAUAUACCUUUCUGAAGAAACCAGAGGCCUUUCUCCUGGGCAUGGUUGGCCAAAUGGUGCCAAAGAAGGACAGAACUUUCUUUAUGUAUGCCACAACAGCAGCAAGAAUACUUAUUGCAAAGUAUUGGAAGACACAAGACCUACCCACUCUGGAAGAAUGGCAGAUGAAGGUGAUGGACUACAUGGAAUUAGCGGAAAUGACUGGCAGAAUCCAAGACCAGGGAGAAGAGUCGGUGGAAGAAGAUUGGAAGAAAUUUAAAGACUAUUUACAGAAAUAUUGCAAAAUUAAUGAAUGUUAGAAAGAUGUUGGAAUGAAGCUAGGUGGUUUAAGCAGUAAUGCUAUAAAGGUGUAUGUAAAAAGGAUUGAUAACAGAUGAAAAUUUAAAGUUAUAGUAUAUUAAGUUAAAGGAUCAUGAGAAAACAAAGAGGGAAAGAAAUUGCUGACUUAACUAAUUGAACUGGAAUACAAAAAAGGGAGGUAUGAGGAGGUCAGGGAAACAAGGAUAUGAAUGUAAGGUAUGGAAAGAUUGAUCCAUUUUCCUUUUUUUUCUUUUUAAGUGUCUUUUAUUCUUUUUUCUGUAUUUUGUAUUUUUACUUUUUGUUUUUGUGUAAUUCUUUUAUCCUCUGAAAUUUUAAUAAAUAUCAUUU